rnacentral:rRNA from 1 species
GAUGAACGCUAGCUACAGGCUUAACACAUGCAAGUCGAGGGGAAACGAUAGAGAAAGCUUGCUUUUUCUAGGCGUCGACCGGCGCACGGGUGAGUAACGCGUAUCCAACCUGCCCAUCACUUGGGGAUAACCUUGCGAAAGUAAGACUAAUACCCAAUGAUAUCUCUAGAAGACAUCUGAAGGAGAUUAAAGAUUUAUCGGUGAUGGAUGGGGAUGCGUCUGAUUAGCUUGUUGGCGGGGUAACGGCCCACCAAGGCGACGAUCAGUAGGGGUUCUGAGAGGAAGGUCCCCCACAUUGGGACUGAGACACGGUCCAAACUCCUACGGGAGGCAGCAGUGAGGAAUAUUGGUCAAUGGGCGAGAGCCUGAACCAGCCAAGUAGCGUGCAGGAUGACGGCCCUAUGGGUUGUAAACUGCUUUUAUAAGGGAAUAAAGUGAGUCUCGUGAGACUUUUUGCAUGUACCUUAUGAAUAAGGACCGGCUAAUUCCGUGCCAGCAGCCGCAGUAA